AACGCACAUUGCGCCCUUUGGUAUUCCGAAGGGCAUGCCUGUUCGAGCGUCAUUAUCACCCCUCAAGCCCCCGGCUUGGUGUUGGACGGUCUAGUUUUUUCAUUAAAACCCCUCCUAAAGUCAAUGACGGCGGCCUGUGAGACCCCCGGUACACUGAGCUUCUUAACUGAGCACGUAUCGGUCUAAGGGUCGGCAGGUCCUGGUCUUCUCCCUUCAUCGGGAAACUUUUCUCAAGGUUGACCUCGGAUCAGGUAGGAAUACCCGCUGAACUUAA
rnacentral:misc_RNA from 1 species